rnacentral:tRNA from 1 species
AUGGGAAUCGAACCCACGACCUUCCGCUUACCGGGCAGAUGCCAUUGACCACUAGGCU